GACAGAGGUGCCGAGCGUUAGGCGGAAUCACUGGGCUUAAAGCGUGUGUAGGCGGGCGGGCAAGUACCUUGUGAAAUCCCACGGCUCAACCGUGGAACUGCUGGGUAUACUGCCUGUCUUGAGCCAGCCAGGGGCAGUCGGAACAGGCGGUGGAGCGGUGAAAUGCGUAGAUAUCGUCUGGAACGCCAAAGGUGAAAACAGACUGCUGGGGCUGUGCUGACGCUGAGACACGAAAGCCAGGGGAGCGAACGGG
rnacentral:rRNA from 1 species